rnacentral:rRNA from 1 species
UACGACUACAUAUCAGGCAUAUCAAUAAGCGGAGGAAAAGAAACUAACAAGGAUUCCCCUAGUAACGGCGAGUGAAGCGGGAAGAGCUCAAAUUUGAAAUCUUCAAGGUUCUACCUUGACGAAUUGUAGUUUAAAGAAGUGUUUUCGGUUAGAGGAGUAGUAAAAGUUCUUUGGAAUAGGACAUCAUAGAGGGUGAGAAUCCCGUAUUUGACUAUUCUUUCUAGCUUUGUGAUACACUUUCAAAGAGUCGGAUUGUUUGGGAAUGCAGUCCAAAAUGGGUGGUAAAUUUCAUCUAAAGCUAAAUAUUGGCGAGAGACCGAUAGCGAACAAGUACCGUGAGGGAAAGAUGAAAAGAACUUUGAAAAGAGAGUUAAACAGUACGUGAAAUUGUCAAAAGGGAAGCGUUUGACACCAGUGUUGUUUCUACGAAAAUCAAUUUAUGAUGGCUUGAUGCUAAGCUUUAAGACUUUAUCAGCCUGUUGUUUAGUUUUCUUGUCUUUGUGAAUGCACUUUUCGUGGAACAAGUCAACAUCAAUUUCUUUUGCUGUAAAAGGGUAAGAGGAAGGUGGCUUCGGCUUCGGUUGAAGUGUUUAUAGCCUUUUAUCUCUGCAGUCGGAGAGAUUGAGGUCUGCAGCGUAGACUCUUCGGGGUUAGAUACGUCGGUGCUAAGCUAUAGCUUUUCAUAGACAACUUGUUGACUAUGUUUAGUCAUGUGGCUUACCCGCUGGCGCUAUUUUACCUACGCUUAGGAUGUUGACUGAUAUGUAGUCGUA